AUAUAUGUGAAGGAGGAGUGGGAGCUUCCUCAAGCCAAGUAGUACGCGAAGGUAUAUGAGUACUUUUCAUCAAAAUAGCAACAGUAGUGUAUCCAAUCGGCAUGUAAUGUUAAAAGAUGUUUUGUACUAACUUCUACUGUGUCUUUGCAAUCAUUUCCUUUGGUUUUUCUCUGUUUAAAGGAAAAGACCGAGGAUUAGCUAAAGGGACUAGAGACGCGUAAGGUGGAGCUUAACAGUCUUAAAAUGAUAAAUGGAUUCCAAUCUAACAUGGUACAAUUUCUAAAUCUAGCUUUUGUUCUCCACUUUUAGGAGUUCAGGUUCUGUUAAAAUGGUUCGAGAUUAUUUUUAAAAUCCUAUUAAUCAUAUGUGUUAUGGAGCUUGUUAAUGGUUGGAUCGUUUGAACUAAUUGUUUGAUGGAAGAUUUAGCUUAGAUUUGGAAGAAGUAUUCCUCAUUUCCUCUACGUAUAUCGAUAAUUUGGUGGCAAAACUGAUCAUAAUUUAGUAAAGUGCUUACAGAGGAAGUUGGCCAAACUGGACAAGUUGACAGUGAGUUGAGCAGCAUGGUUAGGCAUUACUGGCGGAG
rnacentral:lncRNA from 1 species